AUUGAACGCUGGCGGCAGGCCUAACACAUGCAAGUCGAACGAGUGGCGGACGGGUGAGUAAUGUCUGGGAAACUGCCUGAUGGAGGGGGAUAACUACUGGAAACGGUAGCUAAUACCGCAUACCAUCGGAUGUGCCCAGAUGGGAUUAGCUUGUAGGUGGGGUAAGGGCUCACCUAGGCGACGAUCCCUAGCUGGUUUGCGAGGAUGACCAGCGACACGUGAAGUGGGACACGGUCCAGACUCCUAAGGUAGGAAGCAUGUGGGAAUAUCGCACAAUGGGCGCAAGCCUGAUGCAGCCAUGCCGCGUGUAUGAAGAAGGCCUUCGGGUUGUAAAGUCCUUUCAGCGGGGAGGCGUUACCCGCAGAAGAAGCACCGGCUAACUCCGUGCCAGCAGCCGCGGUAAUAC
rnacentral:rRNA from 1 species